GUUGUGCAAUACUAGGUUUAUAAAACAUCUUAUUUAAAUGUAAAUGUAACACUGCCUAUAACCUUUUUUGAAUUUAAGCUCAUUAAACUUAUGGAUGUUAUAUAAAGUAAAUCCAGAUCGUUCUUGUAUUUCAUCGCCUGUCCUGAACUAUGAACUAAUGAAUUAACAGACCAAGUCCUCCUCUGAUCUACCCACGCCGUACUCCUGGACGAGGAUGAUCUCUUCAAUCUAAAGAGAGUCUGAUAGAGCAGAUUCAAACCGCCUGCAGAGUGUCUCCCUGCUGGGCACCAUCGUCUUCACCUCCUACAUGGAGAAGUCCUGUCGGAAGCGUCUUCCUUGCUUCUCUAAACCAGGACUGCUGCUAUUAAGCAGAUAAAGAUCUCAUCACUGUCCUCAAGAUUGAGAUCUGAUGUUUAACUCAACCUUAUUCGGAUCCAAUCAUCAUCUAUCCGUACCUCCUCUCGGAGAAGUAUCCGUUCCUCCUCUAGGAGCAGUAUCCGUUCCUCCUCUCGGAGAAGUAUCCGUACCUCCUCUCGGAGAAGUCCCGUCGGAAGCAUCUGUGUUUCUCUAAACCGGGACUGCUGCUUUCGAGCAGAUAAAGUUAUGUAUAAGAGACAGCUGGUAACGAUCAUCCAACUCUAGAGCUAUUAAAUUCUCCGGCCUAAUCAACUUUGUAAGUGUUACCUUAAUUCAUAUAAAUUUGUCGCAAUUUAUUCACAUUUAGCACAUUGUAAGUGUUAUCUUAAUACCUAAUUGUUGUUACAACUUAUUCACACUUAGCACACCUGGAGCAAAUUUUAAUGUAAACUUGGCUAAUUUUAUUCAUUUAAAUCAUUCUAAUACUAAUUUAUUAUUUUAUGCAACCCGUGACUGAUGUAUUGUUUUUCAGUUCACGGGUCCUAGCUCUGUAUCGCUGUACCAGAAAUACAGAAUAUAAGAGA